rnacentral:misc_RNA from 1 species
UUUGUACAAAUUUUGAUGAGGUUAGAUUUUUUAUAUACAAAUAUGUAUUCUGUUACUGUGGUCAUAAAAUUUAACCUUUAUGGGCAUUUGCAUGUUGGACUUGGCACCCAUAUUCAGACAUGUUAACUUCUAAUCUAUUAAUUUAUUUAUUUUGUUGUUACAAAAAGAAAAAAGAAAAGAAUAAUCUCCAUUUGGCUCAAAAUACAUUUUGGUCCUUGCUAUUUCAAAAUUAACAAUAUUAGCUCGACAUUUGCUUGAGAGUUAAAACACAGCACUCUAGUCCUCUUAGUUUGCCAUUAGGGUUUGGUCCAGUGAGGUGUGCCAAAUUCUUAUGUCUUUAUGCACAAUAUUGCCUCUUUAUCUGACUUGCAAAUCCCUCAUUUUAAUGAAAGUUUGAUGCCAGAAGAUUUCCAAGCCAAAAUCCUUCCUUACAGUGACAUAGCGAAA